rnacentral:tRNA from 1 species
GGGGUUGGGGAUUUAGCUCAGUGGUAGAGCACUUGCCUAGCAAGCGCAAGGCCCUGGGUUCGGUCCCCAGCUCCGAA